rnacentral:rRNA from 1 species
AUUGAACGCUGGCGGCAGGCCUAACACAUGCAAGUCGAACGAGUGGCGGACGGGUGAGUAAUGUCUGGGAAACUGCCCGCUGGAGGGGGAUAACUACUGGAAACGGUAGCUAAUACCGCAUACCAUCAGAUGUGCCCAGAUGGGAUUAGCUAGUUGGUGGGGUAACGGCUCACCAAGGCGACGAUCCCUAGCUGGUCUGAGAGGAGGACAAGCCACAAUGGAACGGAUACACGGUCAAUACUCCUACGGGGUGCAGCAGUGGGGAAUAUUGCACAAUGGGCGCAAGCCUGAUGCAGCCAUGCCGCGUGUAUGAAGAAGGCCUCCGAGUUGUAGAGUACUUGCAGCGGGGAGGCGUUACCCGCAGAAGAAGCACCGGCUAACUCCGUGCCAGCAGCCGCGGUAAUUC